rnacentral:tRNA from 1 species
AAGGAAGUGACAGAGGGGCUAUGUGACUGGCUUGAAACCAGUAUACAGGGGUUCGAAUCCCUUCUUUCUUG